AAAACCUUGAGCAGAAAAAAAAUGGAGAAACAUGAAGGUAGCUUAGAAGAAUCCAAAAGCAAUAAACGAAAGCUAGACAAAAGAAUUAGUUGAAGAGUCGUCAGAUUCUGAAGCGGAAUCAAAUUUUAGUCAUCAGCAUAGGAUGGAAGAUGAGAAGUUGCUGUCGGCAGUGUUGGGAGAGCAAAGGAGAAGGUAAGAAGACUGCAACUUAAGAGGAUGAAGGCAAAUCAGAAAUUGGUAGAUGACAGAAUUGUGAAUAGGACUCUUAGAUUCUGGGUCUAACUUAUGCAAUAAUUCUAUGAUCUGGGAAGCGCGUAGAGAUGAACAAGUGAGUUUGCAGUGAUUGUUGCGGUCGCGUCCAAUAGGGAGUCAAUUGUUUUGCAAACACAAAGGCUAUGGAUGGGAUAGAAAGUUUAUGGUUAAACUAUUCUCUUCAAAUUCACAUUAGUAUAAAAUAACGAAUAAAUGGCAUCACAAUGAUUAAUUUUCAAAUUAACUCCUUAAAUAGAAAUAACUUCAUUUACUGCUCCAUUCAUUUUAAAAUUCAAAAUCUCUUUCAUCUUCCUCUUUGGUCCACCAGUCUAUAUCACUACCAAUUGGCCAUGCAGUAUCUUGAGCUGUAGCAGAUUCUUCCACUGUAAU